AGAAACCUUGAUAUAGACCACUCCUUGGUUAUUGAAAGGAAUUGAUGGUGAGAGAAUCAGGACCAUUAAAGAACAAAACAGAACCUUUAAUUGGAAACUUGGAAUUGUGCUGGCAUAUGCUGUUGCUGCUCCUACUCCUUCACAGGCAUAUCCAACAGGAGGUGCUCUUAUAACUUACUAUAUAUAUACUUCCAUUUUGUGAUUAUGUCCUCAAACGCAAACUUGGUCUGAAAGAGUUUGAGCUGCACUGUCAACGGAAUGAGAGUGCAAUUCUCCUUUGGCACACAGAAGUAGAGAACUU
rnacentral:lncRNA from 1 species